CCCCCCCCAACCCCGUUCCUUAUGUUUGUGGGGAUUACUUCCAAGAGAAGUGGGCCCAGGGUUUAUGGCUUCCUUGGGGGAACAUGGUCCCUUUUGGGGGGAGUUCAGUGGAGACUAGGUCAGAGGUGACUUUAUAACUUAGGAGGUGAAAGGAGCGUCUGGUUGUGGGAAAGCUUUAAUGAUGAUUUCCUACCGGCUGAGAAUGGCCGUUACUCUAACCUCCCCUCGUCUCUCCUAUCCUGAGUGGACACGUGUUGACUCAGCGUCUUCAUCACCCACCUCCCUGGCUGCCGACCUGUCCCCAUAAACACAGAACAUCAAGACCUAUGUGCUGCUUAAAGAGAAACCCAAUGAGUCACAGCCCUGGAAAGGCUGCUGCGUGUUAGUUAGAGAAGAGAAGCCGCCCUUCCCAGGAGUGCCGCUGCCAUUGCACCCAUAUUCAUCUCCUUGGGCCAGUGUCAUUCUGUACCUGGAAGGUCUUGCCUGUCCUGAUCCCUCCCAUCUGCCCACUCUGAACCUCCCUGUUCCCCAAAGAAAACGUCUGCCUUACGACAGUCGGCAGAAAG